GAUGAACGCUGGCGGCGUGCCUAAUACAUGCAAGUCGAGCGAACAGACGAGGAGCUUGCUCCUCUGACGUUAGCGGCGGACGGGUGAGUAACACGUGGAUAACCUACCUAUAAGACUGGGAUAACUUCGGGAAACCGGAGCUAAUACCGGAUAAUAUAUUGAACCGCAUGGUUCAAUAGUGAAAGACGGUUUUGCUGUCACUUAUAGAUGGAUCCGCGCCGCAUUAGCUAGUUGGUAAGGUAACGGCUUACCAAGGCAACGAUGCGUAGCCGACCUGAGAGGGUGAUCGGCCACACUGGAACUGAGCCACGGUCCAGACUCCUACGGGAGGCAGCAGUAGGGAAUCUUCCGCAAUGGGCGAAAGCCUUACGGAGCAACGCCGCGUGAGUGAUGAAGGUCUUCGGAUCGUAAAACUCUGUUAUUAGGGAAGAACAAAUGUGUAAGUAACUAUGCACGUCUUGACGGUACCUAAUCAGAAAGCCACGGCUAGCUACGUG
rnacentral:rRNA from 1 species